rnacentral:rRNA from 1 species
UUGCAUCUGAAACUGCUUUGCUUGAGUCCUGGAGGGGGUAGUGGAAUUCCCAGUGUAGCGGUGAAAUGCGUAGAUAUUGGGAGGAACACCAGCGGCGAAGGCGGCUACCUGGACAGUGACUGACGCUGAGGCGCGAAAGCUAGGGGAGCAAACGGGAUUAGAUACCCCGGUAGUCCUAGCCGUAAACUAUGGGCACUUGGUGUCGGGGGUAUUGAGUCCCCCGGUGCCGUAGUUCACAUGGUAAGUGCCCCGCCUGGGGAGUACGGUCGCAAGACUGAAACUCAAAGGAAUUGACGGGGGCCCGCACAAGCGGUGGAGCAUGUGGUUCAAUUCGACGCAACGCGCAGAACCUUACCGGGGCUCGAACGGUAGUCGCUACUCCUGGGAAACGGGUGGUGCCGGGCAACCGGAGCUCCAAGACAGGUGCUGCAUGGCUGUCGUCAGCUCGUGUCGUGAGAUGUUGGGUUAAGUCCCGCAACGAGCGCAACCCUUGUCUCUAGUUGCCAGCAUUCAGUUGGGCACUUUAGAGAGACUGCCGGUGAUAAACCGGAGGAAGGUGGGGACGACGUCAAGUCCUCAUGGCCUUUAUGCCCAGGGCUACACACGUGCUACAAUGGGCGGUACAGAGGGCUGCAAACCCGCGAGGGGGAGCCAAUCCCAAAAAGCCGUCCCCAGUUCGGAUUGGAGUCUGCAACUCGACUCCAUGAAGGUGGAAUCGCUAGUAAUCGCGGAUCAGCAUGCCGCGGUGAUACGUUCCCGGGCCUUGUACACACCGCCCGUCACACCACGAAAGCUGAUGGUACCAGAAGUCGCUGGCCUAACCCUCCGGGGGAGGAGGCGCC